UGCAAGUCGAACGAAGUAGCAAUACUUAGUGGCAGACGGGUGAGUAACAUGUGGGUAUCUACCCUUUGGCCUGGAAUAACACGAGGAAACUUGUGCUGAUACUGGAUAAGUCUUUACGAAGAAAGCUUUAUGCACCAUUGGAUGAGCCCGCACUUGAUUAGUUUGUUGGUGGGGUAAUGGCCUACCAAGACUAUGAUCAAUAGCUGAUUUGAGAGGAUGAUCAGCCACAUUGGGACUGAGACACGGCCCAAACUCCUACGGGAGGCAGCAGUGGGGAAUCUUGCACAAUGGAGGAAACUCUGAUGCAGCGAUGCCGCGUGAGUGAAGAAGGCCCUUGGGUUGUAAAGCUCUUUCGUCGGGGAAGAAAAUGACUGUACCCGAAUAAGAAGGUCCGGCUAACUUCGUGCCAGCAGCCGCGGUAAUACGAAGGGACCUAGCGUAGUUCGGAAUUACUGGGCUUAAAGAGUUCGUAGGUGGUUGAAAAAGUUGGUGGUGAAAUCCCAGAGCUUAACUCUGGAACUGCCAUCAAAACUUUUCAGCUAGAGUUUGAUAGAGGAAAGCAGAAUUUCUAGUGUAGAGGUGAAAUUCGUAGAUAUUAGAAAGAAUACCAAUUGCGAAGGCAGCUUUCUGGAUCAUUACUGACACUGAGGAACGAAAGCAUGGGUAGCGAAGAGGAUUAGAUACCCUCGUAGUCCAUGCCGUAAACGAUGUGUGUUAGACGUUGGAAAUUUAUUUUCAGUGUCGCAGCGAAAGCGAUAAACACACCGCCUGGGGAGUACGACCGCAAGGUUAAACUCAAAUGAAUUGACGGGGACCCGC
rnacentral:rRNA from 1 species